rnacentral:lncRNA from 12 species
AUUGCAGCAAUAACCAAGUAUUGUAUCUCAGUAUUCACCACUUGCUUUCCACAGACACUUCAUCAGCAGCAACUGCUGCAGAUCCUGGCGCUCAUCAGUGGAUGGAAUUCUCAUGGUUUCCAGUUUUCUUCCAUCAUGAAAACAGUUAUGACUCCUUGGGUUUUUUUUCUCUUGGCAUGGGAGGUGAGACACUAUGAAGAGUUUUAUAUGCAUAAGAAAAAUGGAGACAUCUAGGGGCUUCCUUGAAAAAUCAGACAUAAAUCAGGGU